CAGCCGCCGCGGGAAUACGAAGGGGGCUAGCGUUGCUCGGAAUGACUGGGCGUAAAGGGCGCGUAGGCGGCUUGUAUAGUCAGAUGUGAAAUUCCUGGGCUCAACCUGGGGACUUCAUUUGAUACGUGCAGGCUUGAGUGUGGAAGAGGGUCGUGGAAUUCCCAGUGUAGUGGUGAAAUUCGUAGAUAUUGGGAAGAACACCGGUGGCGAAGGCGGCAACCUGGUCCUUGACUGACGCUGAGGCGCGAGAGCGUGGGGAGCAAACAGGAUUAGAUACCCCCGUAGUCCCUGUCUCUUAUAC
rnacentral:rRNA from 1 species